rnacentral:pre_miRNA from 1 species
UCUCGCGCAUGGUCCCUUCAGAGACACCUCGCGGAUACGCACUUUUAUGUACCGCAAUCAUUGUCUUGCGAUCAGUGCGG